rnacentral:snRNA from 1 species
GAAUGUGAGGGCAACUGGCUGCGACACCUGUUAUCCCAUUGAUCACUAGGGUUGAUUCUAUUGAUCUGGAUGGCUAAGGAGUUCUCCCCUUCCUCCCUUUCUCUUCCAUGUGCAUCCCUCCUGAAGUUCCAUACUUGGUCAAACUGGAAGACCUUCCUUGUUAGAGGAGGACCAGUCUUCCAUCAGGGGAUUAUCAGUAGCUAUGCUCCCCAGCUACAAACUCCAAAUGGACUCUCAAGUUCUUAUAUUUUUUAUAUUGAAGGUUAUGUGUCAGCCGGGCGUUGGUGGCGCACGCCUUUAAUC